UGUCAUUUAUUUGAUAUCUAUUCAACACACAGAACAAUGGAUCGCAACUUAUGUGACGUCCUGAAUGCCUCUAAAUCCAAAUUAUCAUCUCCACAUAAACAGGCCUGCUAGUACAAUUAUCUAUAUGUGUGAAGGAAGAAAUAUUUACCUCAAAGGAGAAGGCUGAAGAGACAAAAAUGUGUGUGCAGAAAAGAAGCUCAAAAAGGUCUCCCCAGAGAUCUGGUAAGCUCCACGGGCUGGUGAUCCUGUUGAAACCAGAAGAAUGGCUAAACUCAGAACUCUAUGUCAGCUGAAUCCAGGCAAGGCUACUGUUUAUGUUGAUAAUGCAGAAUUACUUCCAACAUACUCCCCUAUCUACAUGUUACAAGUUAGUGUCAGAUAGGAGACUGGACUCAGGCAAUAACGAGUUCUUCCAUACUCAGUCUUUCCUCAUCUUCACUGCAUCCAUGAACCGAUGGACAGUUGCUAAGGUUUGGGAAGAACAAAGGUGCGUUUCAAGAACAAAAGCUUUUUAUUCAUGGUUUCUUGGCACCAGGGAAAACCAUAUGUUAAGAUUACAAAGGCAAAAACUCAGCAAUAAGGAGAUAUUCUUCAUUGGAUGUCUGUGUUUCAUAUGACUUAGUUUUGCUGCACAAUUGAGCUGUCAUCUUAGUAAUUUCUUUUUUUCAUCUUUCAAGCUACUGUUAAAAUAUCAGUCUGGGAAAAUUGAAAUAUUGUAGCAUGGCAGCACCUGAUAGCUCUGAUAAUUACAGUAUGGUAAAGCCUUUAUGAUUCUACUUUUAUAAUGCACCAUGACCUAUUUUGUCAGAAUUUUAAUUGUACAACUUAGAUAGUCUUGGAAGACUGUGUGUAAUGUACAUUUUCAGUACCGAAAAUACCUGUUUAUUGAAGUCUUAGAUGAAAAAAAACAGAAAAUGUAUUUUAUUUAUUGCAGUUAAUUGUGAAUAUGCAUCUAUAUCAUAGUUUAUAUAGUUUAGCACCUUAUUAAUUGCAGCUUAAAGCAAUACUUGGUUUAUUUCCAUAAAUUUAUUAUUAUUUUAAAGUUUACCACAAAUAGAUGAAGGAAAUUGCAGGAUUUCACACAGUGUUAUUCAGCAAUGUUCUCACACUGCACUUCCAGUUUUCAUGGAUGUGUUUUAGCUACUGAAACAGGAGGCAAGUAUUAAUGUCCAGAGGUCUUUUACCAGUGACUGGCGUGGGGUUGCAUGUUAAUCCUUCAAAUAGCCUUGUUUUAUUGGGCAGAUGAUGUAUUUUUCAAGAGUUUGGAGAAGGAAUUGGAUAUUGGAGUGAGUAUAGUGGCACAAGGAUAUCUGAAGUUUAUCAUCCAUACUAAAUAUUUUAUACUAUACUGCAUAGAGUAGGGAGGUAAACUUACAGAUGUGUUAGAGGCACACAGAUUAUUUUUGUCCUGCAACACAACACAAACAACAUGACCAUGUUUUCUUCCCAUGGUAAGACAACCGUCUUGGUUAGACUGUUUAAACCUUAAGGCUUUAAAAUGAAUAGUAAUGGAAUAGAUGGUGGUUUGUUUUUUUUUGUGGGGAGGGGGGCAGGGGGGAAGAUGAGGCAGUAGC